rnacentral:rRNA from 1 species
ACGCACGCUGGCGGCCUGCCUAACCCCUGCACGUCGAACGAGACCUUCGGGUCUAGUGGCGCACGGGUGCGUAACGCGUGGGAACCUGCCCUUAGGUUCGGAAUAACUCCCCGAAAGGGGUGCUAAUACCGGAUAAUGUCUUCGGACCAAAGAUUUAUCGCCUUUGGAUGGGCCCGCGUUGGAUUAGCUAGUUGGUAGGGUAAAAGCCUACCAAGGCGACGAUCCAUAGCUGGUCUGAGAGGAUGAUCAGCCACACUGGGACUGAGACACGGCCCAGACUCCUACGGGAGGCAGCAGUGGGGAAUAUUGGACAAUGGGCGAAAGCCUGAUCCAGCAAUGCCGCGUGAGUGAUGAAGGCCUUAGGGUUGUAAAGCUCUUUUACCCGGGAUGAUAAUGACAGUACCGGGAGAAUAAGCGCCGGCUAACUCCGUG